CCUAACACAGCUGUCGUCUCCUGAGCCAUUGAGUUCUUGGGCCUACAGUGGCUGGAGAGUGCUGGCUCUGUUGGAGUCCUCAUGAAAAAGUAGAAUUGGACUUUCUCCCAGUGGGCCAACUGGAACUCCUUCAAUCCCACCAAACGGGUAACAGAAACGUCCAUAGCAGUGGUGUUCAUAAUAGCAAAAAUGCAAAACUAUCUAUACAUCAAUUAGUAGCAAAAUGAAUUAAUCAGUUGUCAUAUUUUAUACAGUGAAAUAUUGUAUAGCAGUGACGAGGAAGGAACUGGAGCUCCAUGUUUCCACAUGGAUAAAUCUCCAAAAUAUAGAACUGAACAAAGAAAGAAAAUAAGCAAGUAGCAGUAGCAUGCUAGAAUAUUAUAUAACUAAUAAAAAGUUAAAAACUGG
rnacentral:lncRNA from 10 species